ACCUGCCCCGGAGCGGGGGAUAACAUUUGGAAACAGAUGCUAAUACCGCAUAACAACAAAAGCCACAUGGCUUUUGUUUGAAAGAUGGCUUUGGCUAUCACUCCGGGAUGGACCUGCGGUGCAUUAGCUAGUUGGUAAGGUAACGGCUUACCAAGGCGAUGAUGCAUAGCCGAGUUGAGAGACUGAUCGGCCACAAUGGAACUGAGACACGGUCCAUACUCCUACGGGAGGCAGCAGUAGGGAAUCUUCCACAAUGGGCGCAAGCCUGAUGGAGCAACACCGCGUGAGUGAAGAAGGGUUUCGGCUCGUAAAGCUCUGUUGUUGGAGAAGAACGUGCGUGAGAGUAACUGUUCACGCAGUGACGGUAUCCAACCAGAAAGUCACGGCUAACUACGUGCCAGCAGCCGCGGUAAUACGUAGGUGGCAAGCGUUAUCCGGAUUUAUUGGGCGUAAAGCGAGCGCAGGCGGUUGCUUAGGUCUGAUGUGAAAGCCUUCGGCUUAACCGAAGAAGUGCAUCGGAAACCGGGCGACUUGAGUGCAGAAGAGGACAGUGGAACUCCAUGUGUAGCGGUGGAAUGCGUAGAUAUAUGGAAGAACACCAGUGGCGAAGGCGGCUGUCUGGUCUGCAACUGACGCUGAGGCUCGAAAGCAUGGGUAGCGAACAGGAUUAGAUACCCUGGUAGUCCAUGCCGUAAACGAUGAGUGCUAGGUGUUGGAGGGUUUCCGCCCUUCAGUGCCGGAGCUAACGCAUUAAGCACUCCGCCUGGGGAGUACGACCGCAAGGUUGAAACUCAAAGGAAUUGACGGGGGCCCGC
rnacentral:rRNA from 1 species